AACUGUUAACAAUGGAUCUCUUGGCUCUCGCAUCGAUGAAGAACGCAGCGAAAUGCGAUAAGUAAUGUGAAUUGCAGAAUUCAGUGAAUCAUCGAAUCUUUGAACGCACCGUGCGCUCCUUGGUAUUCCGAGGAGCAUGCCUGUUUGAGGGUCUUGAAGUCAUCAACCCCUGCCGGUUCGUGCGGACCGGGUUGGAUGUGGGGGCUCUGCUGCCGUGAGGCGGCUCCCCUCAAAUGCAUCGGUUGGGCCUGUGGGUCGACCUCGACUGGUCGUUGUACCAUCCUCGCUCGACAGAGAUGUUCCCCUCCUGUGCCCUUCCCCGACCUGCCUCUCAGAGUGGCGGUCACAAGCAUAAGCUUUGAAAUCUGGCCUCAAAUCAGGUAGGACUACCCGCUGAACUUAAGCAUAUCAAUAAGCGGAGGCU
rnacentral:misc_RNA from 1 species